GACGAACGCNGGCGGCGUGCCUAAUACAUGCAAGUAGAACGCUGAAGGGAGAGCUUGCUCUUCUGGAUGAGUUGCGAACGGGUGAGUAACGCGUAGGUAACCUGCCUGGUAGCGGGGGACAACUAUUGGAAACGAUAGCUAAUACCGCAUAACAUUGACUAUUGCAUGAUAGUCAAUUAAAAGGUGCAAUUGCACCACUACCAGAUGGACCUGCGUUGUAUUAGCUAGUUGGUGGGGUAACGGCUCACCAAGGCGACGAUACAUAGCCGACCUGAGAGGGUGAUCGGCCACACUGGGACUGAGACACGGCCCAGACUCCUACGGGAGGCAGCAGUAGGGAAUCUUCGGCAAUGGACGGAAGUCUGACCGAGCAACGCCGCGUGAGUGAAGAAGGUUUUCGGAUNGUAAAGNUCUGUUGUAAGAGAAGAACGAGUGNGGGAGNGGAAANUCACAC
rnacentral:rRNA from 1 species